rnacentral:sRNA from 1 species
UGGGCGAUAGACGCCUUCUUCUGUUUUUAUUUUUGGAGGGGAGCGCCCUGUAAUUGUCCUGAACACAUGCUUCCCCUCCUUCCUCCAGCCACCCGCGGAGGAGACAGUCCCCCUUUUUUGCAUUUAUCUUUUCCUUCCCCUUUCUUUAUUAAAGGUCCGGGAGUGGCGGCGGCCAAUCAGCGCGCGGCUUCCAUUUUGUGAGUUCAACUCCGAGGCUCCCGGGCUUCGCGAGGACGCGUUUGCAGCCCCCUCUGCCGCUCCUCUCUGGCGGCCGAGGCGCAGGAGCCGCCUCGCCGGGGCUCGGAGCUGGUGUAGCUCAUAUUGGGGCUCUUUUCGGGGUUUGUAAUUUGGCCGUGGGUAGGUAAUUGGCUGGAGCAGGGCGGCAGGGCGCGGCAGCCAAUCAGCGCGCGGCUUCUAUAGGGCUUGAGUUAUUAGACGCUGAUCUCAAAACAUCCUUCAUCAGACACGAAGGAGAGGCCAACAGAUGAGGGAAGCCAUUUUUCUGCAAUGGAAUUAAAUGGCCAAAGCAGUAAACAGUCCUCAGCGAAGCCGCCUUUUUGCCUACCCAACCCUGGAAAGUUUGCAGAAGUGGAAGGAGCAGAACGUGAGGGUGUAACUUACAAAAAGGUUCUGGGCCGGAGAAGGGGCGACGUUCGGGCACCCCCCGAAUGGACAAUCUUUCCUUCUGUCAACGGCAGGGGCAGGCCUAGUUUGACUCUGACAGUCCUCCCACUAAGCACUACGCCCCAUCGGUGUUCGAGAAGUACACGGCCAGCGUGACCGUUGGCAGCAAGGAGGUGACCCUGAACCUCUACGACACGGCCGG